rnacentral:rRNA from 1 species
GGUGGUGGCAAGACCCAAGAGGUUAAGAGAGUUAAGCGUGCUAGGACGGGAGUAGUCCUAGGAUGGGUGACCCCCUGGGAAGUUGGGGCGUCACAACCA